GGGGAUUUAGCUCAGCGGCAUAAGCGCCUGCCCUGCAAGCAGGCAGUCGUGAGUUCAAUCCCCG
rfam:Cavia porcellus supercont2_111 genomic scaffold, whole genome shotgun sequence.